GAUGAACGCUAGCUACAGGCUUAACACAUGCAAGUCGAGGGGUAACGAGAGGAAAGCUUGCUUUCCUUGUCGACGACCGGCGCACGGAUGAGAACGCGUAUCCAACCUGCCCCCAACUAGGGAAUAACCUUGCGAAAGUAAGACUAAUACCCUAUAAUUUCCUCAGAUGUCAUCUGACGAGGAAUAAAGAUUUAUCGGUUGUGGAUGGGGAUGCGUGCUGAUUGGCUUGUUGGCGGGGUAACGGCCAACCAAGCCAACGAUCAGUAGGGGUUCUGGGAGGAAGGUCCCCCACAUGGGAACUGGGACAAGGCCCAAACUCCUACGGAGGCAGCAGUGAGGAAUAUUGGUCAAUGGGCGGAAGCCUGAACCAGCCAAGUAGCGUGCAGGAUGACGGCCCUAUGGGUUGUAAACUGCUUUUAUACAGGAAUAAAGUUAGCCACGUGUGGUUAUUUGUAGGUACUGUAUGAAUAAGGACCGGCUAAUUCCGUGCCAGCCGCCGCCGUAA
rnacentral:rRNA from 1 species